GUGGGGAAUAUUGGACAAUGGGCGAAAGCCUGAUCCAGCCAUGCCGCGUGUGUGAAGAAGGUCUUCGGAUUGUAAAGCACUUUAAGUUGGGAGGAAGGGCAGUAAGUUAAUACCUUGCUGUUUUGACGUUACCGACAGAAUAAGCACCGGCUAACUUCGUGCCAGCAGCCGCGGUAAUACGAAGGGUGCAAGCGUUAAUCGGAAUUACUGGGCGUAAAGCGGGGGGAGGUGGUUUUGUAAGUUGGAGGUGAAAUCCCCGGGCUCAACCUGGGAACUGCCUCCAAAACUGCAUGACUAGAGUACGGUAGAGGGUAGUGGAAUUUCCUGUGUAGCGGUGAAAUGCGUAGAUAUAGGAAGGAACACCAGUGGCGAAGGCGACUACCUGGACUGAUACUGACACUGAGGUGCGAAAGCGUGGGGAGCAAACAGGAUUAGAAACCCGUGUAGUCC
rnacentral:rRNA from 1 species